AUGGUAACUAGCAGUGUGCCAUUAAAAUAGUAUUUUCUUGAAUACAUCCCAACUUCUUUCUUUUGGAAUGUUGAGGUCCUGUGGUGUUUUGCGACUGGAUUAAAAGCAACUUGAACUGUAUCACCGCUCGAGGCUACGAGUUUGGCAGCAAUGCCACGGACCAGCUUACCCUGAGGAUACCCAGACUACAGGAUAACGACACAGGAACGUGCAGCUGUCAUAUAACAGACCAUCUACCUGCUCCAGUGACCUCGUCCUGUCACUAUCCACGUGUCCUGGAGAAGGAACCAUCAUCACUGACCUGUACCUACAGUGUGGAUGUCAAUGCCACGAGAACCGACUUCAUGGUGGUCCGUGAUGGUGGAGCUGGCGAGAAAGGAACUACAAUCGUAUCCUGUGUCUGGGUCAGCGACGACCUCAACUGCACCACAGCCCCGGGAUACGAGCUGAGCAGCGCCGUCACAGACGUUGUCGUCAUCACAACACCGCAAGCGUCACGUGAUCAAGCUGGCUCAUACUCUUGUCACGUGAUAGGAUCUGAAGCUGAAGGGUUUGAAUCUUGUGAGUUUAUCGUCGUGACAGGUAGGUGAACGCCGGUCUGUACAGUAGCAUUAAAUGUUUACCUUACAACAUUUUUACUGACUAAGCCUCACUGUAUGAAGACAGAAGGACAGAAAAAGACAAUGAUGGGCAUGUCUCGUUGAGUCUCGGUGUUUCACAUCCAAACACGCGCUGAGCCAAUGUUUGAAAUAUUUGCUCAUCGACACGAGGCUUGAAAACCCAUCAAGUGAGCUGUCGAGGAGUCGCUAAAAAAUGUCAAUCUUUCGGGAAAAUCGUGACAUAAGCAUGAUCAUGUUGUGUGUAGUAAGAACGAGAGUCUGUGAGUAUAAAGCGAUGGUAGAGGUGCCUGGAGAUGAAGUAAUACAGAGAACUGAAGCAAGCACUUCACAGAUCAGACUUUAUUUUCCAGGGGUAGUGUCUUACCCUCCCGUAGCAAGUAUGGCUGCUGUCCACAGGGAGACAAUCGUGGUUGCGGUGUUAUCAAAUGGUUCAUGCUUUAUUGCUUAUCGAACACAUCAUCGACACUUCCUUCCAAUUUUUCUGAUGUUGGCUUGAAAACAACAAGGAAACAACAGACAUACACAGGGAAGAAGAUGGCGGCACAUCUCUUCUGCGACCAUCUCACUUUUAUUUCGGUAAGUUUCCUCGUUUGCUUUUUGUUGAUUUCAGCUUGUCAUUCACAACUUGUUGGAAGUAAGAAGGUGAAAACUUGCUUUUUAAUCUACUUUCACGUGAACUUGUGAAUGUGAAGCUCUAGUGUUGCAGAUGGACUUCCAAGUUUGUAUCACUGCUUCUUACACAUUUGGAGUGCGCAUGCUCGAAAGGUAAGCAAAAUAUUUAGACGGAGAUAAUCAUCUAAUUAAUUAAUUAAUCAAUUAAUGAAAGUAAAGAAACACGAAUAAAGUCAAGCCGAUUAUUAUCAGCAGGUAAACGAGGUUUGUUUAGUUUAAAUACUUCAGUAAUAAUCCCAUGUAAAUGGCAGAAUAUCCCAAUCUUACAGGCGAGUUUAGCACGUGUUUAAUAACCACAGAACUCACAAAAUGUUCCAGUGGAAAGAAAUAAAAGCCAGGUAUGUUCUCUGAAUGUUUUGAAGUCAACAGUCUGUCAAACCUCUCUGUACAAGAGCGGACGAAUACACACAGAGCUCAGCGUGUGGAGAGAGAGAAAGAGAAAACAAUGGAAGGCAGGAAGCACAACCUACUGACUCAGUCCUGACUUUCAAAACAAUGAGUGAAUGUUGAAGGUGUGGCUUCUGUCUCUCUCCUCCACUCUACCCCGGCAAGUACAGAGUCUGCUAGUGUUGUAGGCAGGCGUGUGCUGCACUACUUUUCCUGAUCUUGUAGGAAUCAUUCUCAUCGUGAUGUCAGUCACAAAAAGUAGGUCGGUACCCGAAAUGUUCAGUAUCCGAAACAGUUUUCCCCAUAACAAAUAAAGGAAAUAGAUUUAAUUGGUUUCUAUUGCGGGAUGUAACAUCUUUCUUCUAUAAUUUUUUCUGAAUUCUUGAAC